UGUCACACUGCCGAGAAAAGCUUCUAGUGAGUACUUAACUACCCGUACCGCAAACCGACACAGGUAGUCGAGGAGAGAAUCCUAAGGUGAGCGAGUGAACUCUCGUUAAGGAACUCGGCAAAAUGACCCCGUAACUUCGGGAGAAGGGGUGCUGAUCGCAAGAUCAGCCGCAGUGAAUAGGCCCAGGCGACUGUUUAUCAAAAACACAGGUCUCUGCAAAAUCGUAAGAUGACGUAUAGGGGCUGACGCCUGCCCGGUGCUGGAAGGUUAAAAGGAUGGGUUAGCUUCGGCGAAGCUCAGAAUUGAAGCCCCAGUAAACGGCGGCCGUAACUAUAACGGUCCUAAGGUAGCGAA
rnacentral:rRNA from 1 species